GCUCUUCCAAUCUGUGCGGCAAGCAUGAACGGCUCGUCCGUGACGCGGGAUUUGCGCCACGUGGGGCAGAGAGGACAGAGUAUGAGAAGCAUUCACAGACACAGGCUGUGUGUGCGCUCUUCUGAAUUGGGAAUAGCCAACAUGC